rnacentral:rRNA from 1 species
AUUGAACGCUGGCGGCAGGCUUAACACAUGCAAGUCGAGCGAGCGGCGGACGGGUGAGUAAUGUCUGGGAAACUGCCUGGUGGAGGGGGAUAACUACUGGAAAGGGUAGCUACUACCGCAUACCAUCAGAUGUGCCCAGAUGGGAUUAGCUAGUAGGAGGGGUAAUGGCUCACCUAGGCGAGGAUCCCUAGCGGGUCUGAGAGGAUGACCAGCCACCCUGGAACGGAGAAACGGUCCAGACUCCGAAGGUAGGAAGAAGUGGGGAAUAUUGCCCAAGGGGAGCAAGACUGAUGCAGCCAGGCCGCGUGUGUGAAGAAGGCCUUCGGGUUUUAAAGCACUUUCUGCGAGGAGGCGUUACUCGCAGAAGAAGAACAGGCUAACUCCGUGCCAGCAGCGGAGGUAAUUC